GUUUAGAUGGCAGAGCCUGGUAAUUGCAAAAGACCUAAGAUCUUUAACUCAGGGGUUCAAAUCCUCUUCUUAACU
rnacentral:tRNA from 1 species